UACGUAGGGGGCGAGCGUUGUCCGGAGUUACUGGGCGUAAAGAGCGCGUAGGCGGUCCGAUAAGUCGGCUGUGAAAGUCAGGGGCUCAACCCUUGGAAGCCGGCCGAUACUGUCGGACUAGAGUCCGGAAGAGGCGAGUGGAAUUCCCGGUGUAGCGGUGAAAUGCGUAGAUAUCGAGAGGAACACCAGUGGCGAAGGCGAGUCCCUGGACAACUCCUGACACUGAUGCACGAAAGCUAGGGGAGCAAACAGG
rnacentral:rRNA from 1 species